AGGGGUUUAGUAUAUUUAGUACAAUGGUCUGUAAAACUGGAAGUUAAUGCCCUUG
rnacentral:tRNA from 1 species